rnacentral:rRNA from 1 species
GGGAUUUGGCAUGGGCGCAGCCUGUCCAGCCAUGCCGCGUGGGUGAUGAAGGCCUUAGGGUUGUAAAGCCCUUUCGGCGGGGAAGAUAAUGACGGUACCCGCAGAAGAAGCCCCGGCUAACUUCGUGCCAGCAGCCGCGGUAAUACGAAGGGGGCUAGCGUUGCUCGGAAUCACNUGGGCGUAAAGCGCACGUAGGCGGCUUUUUAAGUCAGGGGUGAAAUCCUGGAGCUCAACUCCAGAACUGCCUUUGAUACUGAGAAGCUUGAGUCCGGGAGAGGUGAGUGGAACUGCGAGUGUAGAGGUGAAAUUCGUAGAUAUUCGCAAGAACACCAGUGGCGAAGGCGGCUCACUGGCCCGGUACUGACGCUGAGGUGCGAAAGCGUGGGGAGCAAACAGGAUUAGAUACCCUGGUAGUCCACGCCGUAAACGAUGGAUGCUAGCCGUUGUCGGGUUUACCCGUCAGUGGCGCAGCUAACGCAUUAAGCAUCCCGCCUGGGGAGUACGGUCGCAAGAUUAAAACUCAAAAAAAUUGACGGA